rnacentral:lncRNA from 1 species
CUUCGCACACCUGUCAUGUACUUUCUGCCCAAAAUUCACAAACCUGACAACCCAGGCAGACUUAUUGUCUCUGCUUGUGGUUGUCCCACCGAACUCAUCUCCAGUUUUCUCGAUCGUGUUAUGGCACCCUUGGUUAGGGACUUACCAUCCUAUAUCAAGGAUACCAAGCAUGCUCUCCAAAUUCUCCAGAACAUUCAUUUUCAUGGCACUCACAAAUUCAUUUUCACCAUGGACGUCAAAUGCUUAUACACUGUAAUUCCGCAUCAUGAUGGUUUGAGGGCCCUCAAAUUCUUUCUAGAUAAACGCCCUAACCAGGAACCGUCCACUUCUGUUUUGGUCCGAUUGGCUGAGUUGGUGCUUACCCUCAACAAUUUUUCCUUUGAUGGUGAGCAUUACCAACAGAUAAAUGGUGUAGCCAUGGGAACCAAAAUGGACCCAACUAUGUUAAUUUGUUUGUUGGUUUUGUGGAAAAACAAAUCUUUGAACAGUACACUGAUCCCAUCCCUGAUUACCUUGGUAGGUACAUAGAUGACUGUCUUGGCACAGCAUCAUGUUCUCGUGUCGAAUUGGAACGCUUUAUUAACAUUGUUAAUAAUUUCCAUCCAGCACUCCAGUUCACUUGGGAUCAGUGAGUCAUUCUUAGAUAUCCUUGUAUCAAUCAAUGGUAACAAUUUAUUGACUUCUGUGUUCAACAAGCCCAUUGAUUCCCAUAGCUAUCUUCUAUUUUCCUCUUCCCACCCCAACCACACCAAAAGGUCGAUUCCCUUCUCGCAGUUCCUUCAUCUUCGCCGUAUCUGCAGCGAAGACGAAGAUUUUCAGGCCAAAAGUUUGGAGAUGAGACACUUUUUUGUCCAACGUGGUUAUCCUACCUCUCUAUUAGACACUGCCUUUUCGAAGGCCUCCCAAAUUCCCCGUUCUGACACCCUCACAGACCCUGUGUCUAAUAUCACAGGCAACAACAAAAUCCCCCUAGUUUUAAAUUAUCAUCCUUUCAAUUUCAAAGUUAGAGAUGUCAUCAAUAAGAAUUUCCAUAUUUUGAAAAACGACCCUGAAACAUCUUCCAUUUUCUCCAAUAACCCCUUAGUCUCUUUUCGACACAGCAAAAAUAUCCGUGAAAACCUAGUCCAUAGCUCCGUAGCACAGGUUUCGACGUCACAGAAAGGCACUUUUUCUUGCCUGUCGUCGAAAUGUAAAACCUGAUUUUGUAGAUUCUACCACUAUUGUUUCGGCACGUGAGAACCCUUAGAAGUAAGACGCAACUACUUGAAAGCUAUUUUCACGUAUAAAAUAAUUAAUGGCCACACCGCACCUAAUCUAAAAGAAUCGUUUCGAUCAAACAACGAAAUAGAUAAUUUUUACAAUCUCAGAAAUAGAGAAACAGACUUAGCACUUCCUAUGCCAAACAAAUAAUUCGGCAAGAGGUGCUUUAACUAUAUAAUGGGGCUUCACUGUGGAACAAUCUUCCCCAGGAGGCAAAAAAUUCAGAAUCGUUAAGCUCUUUCAAAACAAUUUUGAAUCAGAGAAUUUGUUGAAUCUGGCUCAUCAAAAUAUAUUAACCUUUAAGCAGUACAACUGUGCUAUUAUUCACUUGUUGCUAAUGUGUUUUAUCCUGUAAAUAGUUCUAAAUUACGCCCCUCAUGAAAAUCAGCUUGUAAUGUUGUUGAGGCUAGCGUGAAUAAAUAAAGUUUGUAUGUAUGCAUGUAUGUAUGUAUAUGAAUUCUCUGAUUGAAGCCCUAAUUUCAACCUGUUCCACAUGCCAACAUCACCGCAAUGCGAAUCAACGUGAACUCCAACCUCACGAACUUCCCACGAGACCUUGGCAAAAGGUUGGUACCGAUUUGUUAUCUGAUCGUUGUUGACUACUGUACUACAGUCGUUUUCUACCCUGGGUGCCAGAGCCUCCUGUGAUAGAAGUGAGGACACGACGAGGAGGCUCUGGUCACACGAGCAUUCAGCCUCACUUUGGUGAGUUCAAUAUUUGAACUCUGUUAUGCGAGUCUUUUUAUUGGUUAACCGUUGAGCGUCAGUUAACCAAUGAAAAGACUCGCAUAAAUUUAGACCAAUCACAAACAGAGUUCAAAUAUUGAACUCACCAAAGUAAGGCUGGAUGCUCGUGUGACCAGAGCCUCCUCGUCGUGUCCUCAUUCUAUCACAGGAGGCUCUGGCACACAGGGUAGUCGUAGCAGAACUUUGGGACACCAAAGACAGAACCGUUAUUAAUAAAACAAGUCCUCCAUCAGUCGACACGGCAUUCCCGACACAGUCAUCUCCGAUAACGGCCUUCAAUAUUCUUCUAAGGAAUUUGAACAGUUUGCUAGGAGAAGGCAAUUUAGAUCCAACAUAGCGUGCUCAUUUUCCCUCUGCAGAAAGUAGAGAUUUAUUGAGGAGUGAAAUAGCAAUUUCCGGUUUCAGUUAAUAAACGAGCGGGGACACCAUGCAUCACAGUGUUGAUCUUUGUUAUUAUCCAAGCUUACACUAUCAGGCGAUAUCCCUUUGAAAGGAUCCUUUUGACUUAGAAUUAAACGGACUACUUUGAAAAGACCAAUGAAAAGAUCUUUUUGGCUUAAAAAUGUUGCGCCCAUAGGUGACACCCAUCCCACAUUCAUCGCAGUUAUGAUGCCACCCUCCCUAACCUCAGGGACUCCAUUAAUAGUCGAUGGACGGCUUUGACUAGCUGCAUGGGAGGACAAUGCACCGAGCCCAAACUCAUAACGCGCGCUAGCACGCGUAUUGAUGCCACCUUUUACUAUCACUAGCCACACCACAUUACAAACAUUUCCUAUAUUUGUAUUUAUGUACGCAAGUGUAGGCGAAUACAAGGAUUAUGGGACGCAAUCAAGACCCUAACUUGUUUGUGCGCAUGGCUAAAUUAUGUUGCAUUAAAUGACUGGAGACGCUUAUUUAGUUAUUUGAAACCAUUUCCAAAAUCUCGAGCGGGAUUUGAACUCGCAUCUUCGGUCUAGAUACCCGAAGUUUGACGGGGAAGUAUUCUGUGAUACGGGCAUAUUUUUCUUAAACUUAGAGCGCGCAACGAAUACUUGUACUCGCACAUCGCAAGAAUGACAGUAUAGACAUUGUAACACAAUAUUUAUGGGCCACCGCACACAGCAUAAAUAUAUCAUGUAACAUCUACAUUUGGUAACUUGUGUUUUAGUUGACUAUUAGCGCAAACGAUAAGAUUGGAAAAUCAUGAUUUUUGACAAAACAAACGCGCUAUAUUAACGCAGACACGAUCAGUAUCGGCCCAAUUUAAAUUUCAUUGUAAUUUAAUACGAUGUUUAUUAUAAAAAAGUACCACGCGAACUUCAAACUUCAAGAAUAAAUACUUUCGAAAAAUCAAAACUUUAAUGGUAUACUUGUACGACACGGAUUUUUAAAGUGGCAUAUUUCAUAGCAUAAAUAUUGCGGUUUGCAGAGUGUGUGAAGGCAUGAAGUCUGUCGACGCCGCCGUUUAAGAUCUGUUAAUUCCAACAAGUCGACCGCUUCCGGCCACGAGCCACGAGCGAGGAAACUUUAACAAGAUUAAUGGGGCUCAGUACCGCUUAGGUACAGAUAUUUGUCAAUUCGUCAGUCCUGAUUUUGCUGCGUAAUGAGUGCGUAUAAUUUAUUAGAGGAAAUGUUGUGUUAAUAAUCUCAACUCGAGGCGACCCCUAUACUAUAGAGAUGUGUGAGGAAGGACG